UACAGUAAAGUAGGUUACCUGGCUGCUUAGCCCCACUUGCGUCUGGCCACCGUGCUCAUCAGAGAGGGUCACUAAUGUUUGUUCAUUAGGUUCGUGCAGGCUGUUGACUGAAAGCACAAAUUACAGGUCAGAUGCAGAAGAAAGCCUCUUCUUUGAUAAUUUCCAGUAGAGCAAUGGAAACGCAAUUUGUUUUUGUGACAGCUUUUCCUUUUAAGGGUCAACGGAUGCUGGUGCCAUUCUAGAAGGGUACUCCCUGGCAGGGUACUCCCUGGUAGACUCAGAGGGAACACUGACAAUACCUCUCAGGUUCUGGCUCCUGUGAGCUAACAUAGUGGCCCGUCAGACAAAUAACCUAAAAAUUAAAUGAUGUUUUCUUUUAGAAGCCAGAAAGUAGUGCCAACAAUAUUGUAGAGCAAAGGUUGUUGACCAACACUGAAAAUGCUGUCAAAAUGAAAAUGAUAAAAGUCAACCCCAAGAAAGCAACUAGGUCAACUAGCUCAGAUCAUACCUCGGUGAGAUAAACAAUGUCUGCAGAGAAAUUGUUAGGUUUUAGGGUUAACCAUUGUUCCUACAGUAUAUAUGGUGGCGUGUAAAGACGGGGCCUCAACUUGCUUGACAAUACUAUAAUGUGACUAAAAAACAUAAAAUAAAAAUUAAUUUCUAUCCAUUGAUCUGUGUUAUACAAUGUUAUAAAAUAUAUUUUUUCCCAUAAUUACAAUUAUCUUAACAUUUUCCUGAGUAAAAAUCAUUAAAUCUGCACAUUUCCUGAUGGUGAGAAACCGGAAGUGAGGCGUCAGCGAGGGGAGCCUCAGCCCCGAUGCUGAAACUGUCAGUAAAUGGACUGAUACAAGGCAUAAUCCCUUUCUGUUUCACAUUUUGUCUUCAGUUAAUGGAACGCUAAAACCAACAGAACUAACUCAUGAGGGGAGGCUGGAAUGGUCUGUGCCUCAUCCAGUAGGGGGCGCUGCUACCGCCCUUUAACCUAGGGUAUCCCCACAAAUGGUUUUCAAUUUUUUAAAAAGACUUACUGAAUAGCACUAAGUAAAACAAUUCAAGUGCUUGAAAAGUAAAUUUGAACCUUGAGUGAAGUAUUUUAUGUUAUCCUAAUCAGGAGCAAACCUGUAGAAAUCAUUAGAGCAGUAUUUAAAGUUUUAAAAACAACAUCAAACUCAAAAUUGAACAUUUACACCUCUCUAUACUUUAGAAUGAGUAUAAAUCAUGAAAAAUACUGUACAUGGAGGCUACAGGUCAGGUCUCUUACUGUUUUAAAAAAAACAUGUUCCUUCACAACCCAAUAUGUGUCUUUAGGCGAGAUAGGAAUAAUGAUAAAAAGAUGAAAUGUGGCCAAUAUUAAUAUGCAUUCUGACAAAUAAAUUGUGAAAAAUACACACUUUUAAGGUAUUAUGAUUGUAAAAUCUAAAUCCAGAGGACUUUGUGCCUCACCAGCUAUGAACCUCACAGCAUACCACUGAUGGUGGCUGCUAUGUCUUCUCUGUUCCCUGUCUCUCUCUCUCCACAGUAAUCAGUGUAUCACACUCACACCUGUUUUAUAUCCACUACCUCAUGAUUUACUUCUUUACCUGAUUAUGUAUCUUCUACAGUCACUUUGUUGCAGUCUUUGUUUUUGUUUCAGUUUGCCUUUACAUCGUUCUGUUACACACUUUAGCCACAGCCAUUGUUACAUAACUUUCAUAUUUCCCUCUGCUGCUCAUUCAUCUCAACAUUGUGGACAAUUACGUUUUGCUUUUUAUUGCUGGUUCAUGUAUUUUGUCACUCAGAACAAGUUUCCCCAGUCACCCUGCAACUAUUUUGUUGGUUUGUACUUGUUGCUUUGGUUGCACACUUUGUGUUUCUCAGCUUGCCUGUUUGCUAUUUAAUUUGUUAUCUUGCUUAUUUCUGCAUUAAGCAGUGAUUUUUUUUGGUUCACUGGGAUAGCUGUUUUCGUUCGGCAAUACUUUUUUGCCUCUCCUAUUGUGAGUCUGUGAGAUAACCAAAGGCUGGUGAAUAAAAUAGGCUAUAAUGCUGGUAAACUUGCUGACAAUAUCAUAAUUGCACCAAUCAACCACAAAAUAAAUCCACCCUGUGGCCAUGAUGGACAGGUUUCAGAACACACAGUCUACUGCAUACAGUAUUGGGCUGUUCACUCUAUAUUACAGACAAUGUUCUCUCUGACUUCCAAAAAUUACAUAAUGUUAACAUUUAAACUAAAUAAUCAAACGAAUGAAGUAUCAAAACCACCAGAAUAUUCAGAGCUAAAGGAAUGUUGUAUAAAUUCCCAUGAUCACAGUGAGAGAAAAGAAGGGCUCAGAUUCAGUUUGACUUCAAUGUGUGUAUUUUUCUGUCACUGUUAUAAACUGCUUUGUGCUUUGAUUUCGUUCCAGUAAUCUCUUGAAUAUUUUCCUCUGUAGUAUUUCAUGUUUCCUUUGAGAAUAUUCUAUUUAUUUCUCACUCAACUGAAGUUUGAAAUCUUUAUUGAAGUCUAUUUAGCCAUUUAUUCCUGUUGAAAACAAAGAGGAUAAAAAAUCAGUUCAACAAAGUUCAAAUCAGGCCUGCCCCACUUUUCUCCAUCACUCAACAUACUGAAUGUAAUCAACAAACACAUUCAAAAGCAGUGUGGAGGUCUAGUCAGUUUAUUUACUUGCUUAUCCCGACAUACUCAAAAGUAAAAAUAGUGUUUUAUUUGAUGAAUAGAUGGAUAGACCUGUUAUAUUUUGCUUUAUUAUUAUUGACUUUCCCUUGGCAAAAAGUACACUAUUUGUAUACUUGUUUUAAACUACAAAAGAGUAUCCUUUAAGUUUACUUUUAUGCACAUAUAUACUCAGAUAUACCAAACUAAAGUGUGUCUAAUCAAGUAUACUUUGGUUUCUACUUAAAAGUAUAAAAAGGAGGCUAAGUGUUUUUUUGUCUAGAUUUAUAAUUAUACUCAAGUACAGUAUAAUUGACUUAAACUGAAUAUAGAGAAAGUAUACAGAAAUAUGUAAAUAUUUUAGGUGAAUGAGUUAUGAGUUAACCGAAUGUAUAAGACAGGAAUGCUAUCAUGGAAAAUGCAUAGCGUGCUACAUGUGCAGUGUGUAGCUAUUUCAUGUGCACAUUUCAGUUUAAAGCCAAGCAAAAUCUUUGUUAAACCCAAUGAACCAUCUUUCAAGUAAACAGCACUGGAAAUCUUAGUAACUGCUUCUGGUCUUAUAUAAGCUUCAUCAAAAAGGAAGGUUUUAAGCCUCAUCUUAAAUCUCAAACCUAAACAGGGAGCUGGUUCCACAGGGGAGGAGCUUGGUAGCUAAAGGCUCUGCCUCCCAUUCUACAUUUAAAGAAUUAAGAACCACAAGUAGCCUAGCACUCUGAGAACAAAGUGUUCUGCUUGGAGCAUAAGAAACUAUGAGGUCUUUGGAGGUUUUGGAGAUUUGUUUAAUGUAUGAUGUAAAUGAGAGAUCCUGGUCAAAGAUGAGAUCAAGGUUCUUUGCAGUAGAAUCUCAAGCCAAUGUUAUGGCUAUCUGACUCAAUAGUGUCUCUCUGUAAUUUUAAUCCCAACGAUAAGAAUUUCAGUAUUAGCUGAAUUUACUUGAUGGACAUCCAGGAUUUGAUGUCUUUUAAGCAACUUUGAAUUUUGACUAGUUGAUCUGUUUCAUUUGGUUCCAAAGACAUAUAUAGCUGAGUUUCAUCUGCAUAACAAUGAAAAUUUAUGGAAUGCGUCCUAAUAAUCUCACCUAGAGGAGACAUGUAUAGACUAAACAGUAUUGGACUAAGCAGAGAACCCUGCGGUACUCCAUAGCUAAUCCGCUUUUCUCAUGCUACACAAUGCUGAAGAAUUGGACCUUGAUGUCUAAGUAAGGUGUCUAUAACUUUUGAUGCCAAAAAGCGCUGUAGAUCGCCCACACGGCCCGUCUGAAAAUGUGUGUUUAAAGCUCUCGCCCACAACGCUUUGUUUUCGGAGUGUGUUGCAAGCAAAGUUGAUCGCCACACCACUUUGAGGAAGCAUAUAGCUGUGAUCCGCGGCGGGGAUCAAAAGUCUGAAUCACUGAAUCCACUGUAACAGCGACACUGGCUACCUCGUCCUCGUAGUGGAGUUGUUAUGGCAAAAAUUGUCUCUUCCUUAUUUCUAUGUCUCUUCCUUAUUUCUAUGCAGUUAUUAUAUGAUUUAUGACUUAUGUUCUGCAAUUAAUAUCUUAUGUUUUGUCUUACUGUAUGCAUUUGACAUUUGACCUACAUUGUUCAAUGGUUGUCUCUGCCUGAUAGACUCUCAACUCUAGCUCCCAAACCCAAGGUCAGGGAGUUGUGUCUCUGUCUGUUGAGACUUGGUGCUCCUUUCUCACAGAUAGUUGGACGUCAGCGAUGCAGGUGUGAGAAUGUAAAUAUCUUCACACACACUGCGACAGGGAGGAGAUGGUGCAUGUAAUUUGAUUGGGUUAGAAAGACAUUCCACCCUAGUCGGACAGAGAAGCUAAAAGGCAGAAGCAACUUUAGGAUCGUGGGCUCUUUGCAUCACACCUUCGUGGUGUGUGCACUGAUCUCCCCAGCUGGUUUUUGGUUUGUUGAUGUGCACGAUCAGCAUCCAUGCUUUUUAUUUGCUUUCCCCAUUAUUUUUAUUUUCUUUAUUAUUUCAAUAAAUCGCACAAAAGGACAACUCUCUCAUCUGCCUUUAUUGCAAAAUUUCCACCACAGAAAUUGGCGUCUACGAACAGGAUUCGCUGCAGGUCGUCUGGACGGUGUGACCAGGGACGAUAGUCCUGAGGACUAGGGUCGCUCAGCCUCCAAACCUCUACAGCUGUUCUGAGUGGGAGGACUGCUCACCCGUCUGGAUCGCCUCUGACGAGAUCCAACGAACUCAAAAUGCAACCUCUACUCGGCCCGUUCCACACGUCCCUCUGUGAAAACAUGAUGGAGACAGAUGCAGGACGUGGGUCCUUUCGUGAACAGAUGUCAACGGGGUGGAGACUGGUGAACGACUUCCGACCCCAUGUGAUGUAUUCAACUACUUUGCAUACUUUUAGAAAACUUUUUUUUAUUCUGCCUGUCAUGUGCAGCAAACAGUGAACUUGGUACCUCCACAUUCUAAUGACACACAUUACACGCUUUUGUUUUUAUUUUCAUUUCAGAGGACGCUCUGACCCAACACUCAGCCUUACAGGAAGCCCUGCUUCCCUGUGGCUCACACACAGACAUGAUGUAGGUUCAAUCAGAGGAUGUGAACCAGUGGUCAUCACACCUAAAUCUGACCACAAACCAUGUAAACAACAACACCCUCUUAAAAGAAGCCAUAGACAGUGUUACUGCAGACACCACUAAGCUACUGAAACAUUGGAUGCUACAGGCCACAAAGAGCCUGUCUAAAUUACACUUUGUUCAGACAAAGGUUAUUUUCUGGGUCAUUGUAAUUACAGCUGAUGGCAAAUCCAUCUCACCCAACAGAGUUAAAGCAAUUUGAGACCUGCCUAAACCGUGCACGUAUAAACAGCUGAUGUCUUUUCUACAGUGGCAGCGGUUCAAAGUGACUAGGGUUUUUACUGCAGUACUGCCGCGUCGCCACGGCGCAGCGAGUGCGUCGCUGACUAAAGAUUUUUAAUCCUGCAGCCGGCUGGAAAAAAUCAGGACGCUAGUCUCGUUUUAACCACCAGGUGGCGCAGCGUUGAUUAGAAGCCUCCAAAGCACUACAGCGUAACUGAGGUCCGACUGUUCAUUUCUACCUGUAACACACAUAUAUUACACCAGACCUAUUUUACUAUUAAGUCUUUACUAUUAAGUAUCUGUUGUGUGCUAAAACAUGGGGAGUGUGAAGGGCAACAACUUGUUGAUGGCUUAGCUGUUUUCUGUUCACUGCAAAGUUAUAAUUGUUCUGUGUGGUUUAAAACAGGCAGCGCCACAGCAGCAACACAUUCUUGUUUUCAUUCUCCUCAGCUUUUUCGUGUCUUUAAAUAGAAGGCGUCUCUUAAAAAUAUGUACACACCCACCGCUCUAACAUCUGAUACAACAUAUUGGCUUCACAUAAUACCAUGAUUAUGCGUCGCGGUUUAAUUAAUAUAAUUUGAAUGCGCAAGUAAAGACGUAGAGCGCAGUCCAUCUGCGACUACAGCCGCUUAUUUAGGUUUUAAACUUCCACAACUUGUUAUUGAAUGUUUUCCAAUAGUCGUAGAUUUUACGUAAAUAACCGUAAUAAUCAUAGGAAUUUGUUUUACAACAGUUGUCGGUCGUAAUUUUGACAGGACGCCAGAAAUCAGCAGAUCUACAGCGACGCAUUACAGCAGAUUGUUUGUUCCUACGCGUUUACUCUGUGUCUGCAGAACUGCAGUUUGACUUGUUUUGACUGUGCGUGUCAUUGUAACUGAGUGGCUGAGAGACUUAUUCGACCCGUGUACGUUUCAACAUUUUCAUUUCCCAUCCGUCCAUCCAGCCACUUUCACCGGCGUUUUCGUUUCUCUUUCGAUGAGCGGCAAACGGAUUUUAAUCAAAGCACCGCCUUACAAACCAAUAAAACAGGCAAAAAUAUAUGUUUUUUACAAAAAGACACGGAAUUGGAGUUAAUAUGUUUUAUUGUUUAGAGACAAACGGAAAACAAAAAGUCGUUCUCUCGUUACUUCUGCUUAUAAUUUGGUGGAGACAUCAAUCUCUUACACAAACACGUGACGUGUUUCGGAGUCAUGUGUCCAGACAGAGAGUGACCAAUACACAAAUGUAUGGAUGUGCAAAUGCAGGCUACGAGAGGAACGGAGGAGUGGUGCACGAGAUGUAGCGAGAAUUUGUUUUGACUGUGCGUGUCAUUGUAACUGAAUGAGUGGCUGAUGUGACUUAUUCGGCCCGUGUACGUUUCAAAACUUUGAUUUCCCAUCCGUCUAUCUAUCCUGAAUAAAAGCACCGCAUUACAAACCAAUAAACUGAACAAAAAUAUUUUUUAACAAAAACACACGGACUUGAAUUUUAAGCUGUUUUUUUCGUUUAGAGAAAAACGAAAAACAAAAAACCUCUGCUUUUAAUUUUUAAUGGAAGCUCAUCCGUGGACGGGUCGCGGGGCAGCAGUCGUAGCAGAGAGCUCCCGACUGCCGCUCGAAUGAAACACGAGAUCGAAUGAAAUGUGAUGUGUUUCGUACUCAGAUGACUUGGAUCUGAGUUCGACCAAGCUUUUGCUUGUCUCAUGUUUGCUCACAGUCGCAAAGGAAAUCUACACACCCCUCCCCCCUCCUUCGUAGAGGCGCAUAGACAUGCUAAUGUGUUGCUGCUACUCGAUCAGCAGGUGAGAAAUACUUCAGCUCCGGGACAAAGCUCCGUAGGAGACUGGGCAGCAUCGGGCGACGUGAUCAGCUGCAGGUCUAAGACUCAUUAAUGCAGCAAGUAGUUUGUUCUACAUACGUUUACUCUGCAAAAAUAAACGUAUGUAUUUAUCGUAGCUUUCUGGUCUAAGUUAUUUGUAGCACUUCGACAUUCGUUUAAAAUAUGCAGUGCUUUUUAAAAUGAAAAUACUAAUAUUAUUAUUUAUUACCUUUAUUGUAAACACAGUAUUAAUUGCACAAUUUGGACUGGCGAAGAUUUGCGCUUCUUUCAUAAUAAUCAUGGAUAAUCAAGGAAGAAACUGCAGUUCAUAUUUGUUAUUCAGGGACGGUUUAAUGAAGAUUCAGUAUGGUUUUUGACUGAACUGUCAGCCAAGAUACGUGCAUUAUCAAAUGAAUGCGCCUGUCAGCGGGGAAGACAUCAACUCUAUUCAGUCGCUCUUCAGUCGCUGCUGCCGUCUCCUCCCCAGUUCACACACCUUAACACUAGGACUACUGGGUUUUCUAAAUAUACCAGUUCCUACUACAAGGUGUUCCUACGAAGUUAACCAGCUGUUUAUUUCGUUAUUACUCCUUUCACCUGUACCACAUAAAGUCAUUGCAGAGCUACAGCCAUGUUCCCACAAAGUUAACCAGCUGUUUAUUUCGUUAUUCCCUCUUUCAUGUCCGUCUGUUGAAUGAAAGUGGGCGUGGCCAUCCACGUCCCAGAGCAGUGACACUGGGGGAUGGGAAACGCUCAUCAACACGCAGGACAAAGAUCUGCGUUUCUCUGCUGCUACAGCCUCGGCUGCGUUGUGUUGUUAGUCUCCCUUUCACCUGUACCAUAUGAAAUGUGUUCCUACGAAGUUGCUCAGCCGCUUUCAGAAUUCCCCAUGCAGGUUUGAACAGGGCAAACAUUAUUUUUAUUUACAAAAAAAUUUAAUACGUUUACAGAUUGACCGGUGAUGCCGCACAGGUUGCUCUCAGUUAAAACAGCUGUUUGAAGCAGGGAAAAGCGAGUUAGCUGUCCUUGUCGAUGCCUUGACAAUGUUUUAGCAUCGGUUAGAUCUCUGAGCCCCGACUUUUAUGUCUUCUUUGGAUUAAAAAACAAAUGUUGAAUGUUCUCAAAUAAUAUAAUAUUGCCGCCCUCCGCGGCUCCCAGUGUUUGUUUUUUUCAUUUAAAACGUGGGUGUUACCGGUGGCAGACCUCUGGUCUAGAUCAUCCUUAUUCACUUUUUUAAAUUGUAGUAGUGUAACCUUAGUUAGUAUUCCUUUUUAUUUUUUUUAUUUUAUGUUUGGGAAACGUGACAUUUCAGCUACUGUGAUUUUAUUUGUCAUCAACAUUAGUUCCUACCUGUCCUUGUUAACGGGGGACAAGAAAAUGUGACGCGCGUUGGAUAAGCGCAGCGUAAAGACAAAAGUGUACAUGUGCCGUACUGUCUUGCCGUGUGGUGCAUUAAAAAAGCAUUCCACGUAAAGAAAAUUGCCCGUACCAACAGCAAGAAAUCAGGGUUACAGUAGCUUGUCUGCCAUAAAUCGAACGCUGCACGCGGGAGGGCGCACCGUUCAGCUUCCUAUUUUCGGUUUUAAACUGCCAUAAUUUGCCAUAAUUUACUUACGUUCAUAACUUCAUACUAUAACGCGACCAGUGGUUCAUGGUCUUGGCGAUUCAUGCACUAAGUAAUACAACGUUGUCAUCUCGUGAUCACAUGAUGAUGAUGAGACGCUGUUUUUCCAAUAAUUAAAAUAAAAAAACUGCUUCCACUCAGACUCGAACCCCGGACAAAAAAAAACGUUGUGGCCAUGCACGUUAACCACUAGGCCACCAAAGACCUGAUCAUUGGUUGUUCUACAAGAGGCUAUAUGACGUAAGCAACUACGAUGUUUCAGGACCAAAAGUGGGAGUCAAUCGCCACCUACAGGCCAGAAGGACGUAACACACUCCUCCCGCAGUACAAACCCGGCACUGACGCGGCAGAUUUGAAACCCAAACACGGUGGGGGUAGACACUUUUACCGGCUGCCUCUGUAGGUUUUUGUUCUUAUUGUAGGAACUUCAUUCCUAACUUUACUGUCUUUGAGGCCCCACUCAGGGUUCUGAUGCAGACGUCUUCAUCGUCCACUUCUUGUCUCACGUGGACGUCUGAGGCUGAACAACGUUCCCCGACCUCAUGCUUGCUCUUCAGUUGGCUCCUACCUUGGGUCUUCCUGAUCUGACCCUACGCGACCUUUCACUCAAACAGUGGAUGAGAAAUCAGGUUGUACGACUUCUGUUCUUUUGUCCUCAUACUGUGUCUUUGAUUCUUUUGGAAUAGAUCACAUCUUUCUACAGCCUGAUGGCUUAGAUGCAACACCACUUUGCUCAACAUGCUGAACAUUACUAUCAAGAGUCCGUCUUGAAGUUUGGCUCUUGCUAAGACACUACUCUGCUCAGGCUGCAGAGUUGAUCGUAUUGACUGAAGCUAGUAAACUAGCAGAAGGAGAGUCUGUUACCAUCUACACAGACUCCACAGAUGCUUGUGACACUUUGGUUCUCCUUGGAAGCAUGGGAAGCAUUGAAGUCUGAUUGCAAACCUAUCUUACAUCAUGAUAAGGUUCUGCUUUGCUGGACGCUGUCCUGCUGCCUACAGCUAAUGCUGUUUGUAACUGUCCCACUCACAACAUCAGUGAAUACUUUGUUUCUGCCGACAUGCAGCUGCAGA